rnacentral:rRNA from 1 species
UACGGAGGGGGGCUAGCGUUGUUCGGAAUUACUGGGCAUAAAGCGCGUGUAGGCGGCUUGGCAAGUCGGAUGUGAAAGCCCACGGCUCAACCGUGGAAGCGCAUCCGAAACGGCCUCGCUCGAGUCUCGGAGAGGAAGGUGGAAUGCUUGGUGUAGAGGUGAAAUUCGUAGAUAUCAAGCAGAACACCUGCGGCGAAAGGCGGCCUUCUGGACGAUGACUGACGCUGGAGACGCGAAAAGCGUGGGGGAG